rnacentral:RNase_P_RNA from 1 species
CCAGAGGGUCGGGCGACCGCGGGCGUCUUUCGGGAUGCGCGAGGAAAGUCCGGGCUCCACGUAACGACGGUGCCGGGUAACGCCCGGCCGGGGUGACCCGAGGGAAAGUGCCACAGAGAGCAGACGGCGACCGCUUUGGCGACGCCAUGGUGAAAGGGUGCGGUAAGAGCGCACCGCGCGCCUGGUAACAGGGGCGGCACGGCAAACCCCACCGGGAGCAAGACCGAAUAGGGGCGGCAAAUGAGCAUCGUUGCUGCUCGUCGCCCGGGUUGGUUGCUUGAGCCUGCAUGCGAGUGCAGGCCUAGAGGAAUGGUCGCCCAACUUGCGGAAGCAGGUGGACAGAACCCGGCUUACAGACCCUCUGGCGCU